UACGGAGGGGGCUAGCGUUGUUCGGAAUUACUGGGCGUAAAGCGCACGUAGGCGGCUUUGUAAGUUAGAGGUGAAAGCCCAGGGCUUAACCCUGGAAUUGCCUUUAAGACUGCAUCGCUAGAAUCGUGGAGAGGUGAGUGGAAUUCCGAGUGUAGAGGUGAAAUUCGUAGAUAUUCGGAAGAACACCAGUGGCGAGGGCGACUCACUGGACACGGUAUUGACGCUGAGGUGCGAAAGCGUGGGGAGCAAACAGG
rnacentral:rRNA from 1 species